rnacentral:lncRNA from 1 species
GCGAGGAGCGGAAGGCGGCGGAGGAGGGGAGUCCGGCGGCGGCGGCGGCGGAGGAGUGGUUUAGUUGGUGGAGUGGGGUGGAUGAGGAGAUGCCGUGGGCCACCAGUUGGAUCCCAUUUUGGGAGGUCGAGGCUUAUGAUGCAUUAUAUGGUGAUGUUUUGUGGGAUUAUGACAUUUGGAAUUUGAAAGGACUUGCUCCAAAUCCAUCAUAAUUUUACUCUCUUUUUUUCUUUUCUUUAUUCAGAAAUUUUGUUUAUGUUUCUGUUGAAUAUUAUUAAUACUAG